UCUGGAGAAAGGAUGAUCGCGCUUCGUUAGAUUUAUCUAGCGGGGUGAGGAAAGUCCAGGCAGCAGAAAGCAGGGUGCCGGGCGCAAGCCCGGGACGAGCCUGGGGCAACUUAGGCUUGGCCAGUGAGAGCCACAGAAACUAUGUCGGUCCUUCCACCCUAAAGGUGAAAGGAAACGAGUGAAAAGAGGCAAUCCUCCCCGCUGCAACCUCCGAAUGGGGCGUUUGAGGCGCUUUCCCGAGCCCCGAGGUUCGAGGGCGUUAGAUGGAUGAUCAUCGAGAAACAGAACCUGGCUUACUAAUCUUCAGAGUAC
rnacentral:RNase_P_RNA from 2 species